AGAGUUUGAUCCUGGCUCAGGACGAACGCUGGCGGCGUGCCUAACACAUGCAAGUCGAGGGGCAUCGCGGUGCGGCAACGCACCGGCGGCGACCGGCGCACGGGUGAGUAACGCGUAUCCGACCUGGCCUUCACUUUGGGAUAGCCCCUCGAAAGAGGGAUUAAUACCGGAUAUGUGGGAGCGGUACAUGGCACUCCCACGAAAGAUUUAUCGGUGAAGGAUGGGGAUGCGUCCCAUUAGCUUGUUGGCGGGGCAACGGCCCACCAAGGCGACGAUGGGUAGGGGUACUGAGAGGUAGGUCCCCCACAUUGGAACUGAGACACGGUCCAAACUCCUACGGGAGGCAGCAGUGAGGAAUAUUGGUCAAUGGGCGAGAGCCUGAACCAGCCAAGUAGCGUGAAGGAAGACUGUCCUAUGGAUUGUAAACUUCUUUUCCGGGAGGGUAAAGUGGGGGACGGGUCCCCUAUUGCAAGUAUCCCGGGAAUAAGCAUCGGCUAACUCCGUGCCAGCAGCCGCGGUAAUACGGAGGAUGCGAGCGUUAUCCGGAUUUAUUGGGUUUAAAGGGAGCGUAGGCGGACGAUUAAGUCAGUGGUUAAAUUGUGUGGCUCAACCAUACCGUGCCAUUGAUACUGGUUGUCUUGAGUGUACAAGAGGUGGAUGGAAUUCAAGGGUGUAGCGGUGAAAUGCUUAGAUAUCUUGAAGAACUCCGAUUGCGAAGGCAGUUCACUGGGGUACAACUGACGCUGAUGCUCGAAGGUGCGGGGAUCAAACAGGAUUAGAUACCCUGGUAGUCCGCACAGUAAACGAUGAAUACUCGCUGUCGGCGAUAGACAGUCGGCGGCCAAGCGAAAGCAAUAAGUAUUCCACCUGGGGAGUACGCCGGCAACGGUGAAACUCAAAGGAAUUGACGGGGGCCCGCACAAGCGGAGGAACAUGUGGUUUAAUUCGAUGAUACGCGAGGAACCUUACCCGGGCUUGAACCGCAGACGGCUGCCACAGAGACGUGGUUUCCCUUCGGGGCGUCUGUAGAGGUGCUGCAUGGUUGUCGUCAGCUCGUGCCGUGAGGUGUCGGCUUAAGUGACAUAACGAGCGCAACCCUUGCCGUCAGUUGCCAUCACUUCGGGUGGGCACUCUGUCGGGACUGCCAUCGUAAGAUGCGAGGAAGGUGGGGAUGACGUCAAAUCAGCACGGCCCUUACGUCCGGGGCUACACACGUGUUACAAUGGAGGGUACAGAAGGCAGCCACCUGGCGACAGGGCGCGAAUCCCCAAAACCUUCCUCAGUUCGGAUCGGAGUCUGCAACCCGACUCCGUGAAGCUGGAUUCGCUAGUAAUCGCGCAUCAGCCAUGGCGCGGUGAAUACGUUCCCGGGCCUUGCACACACCGCCCGUCA
rnacentral:rRNA from 1 species